AUUGAACGCUGGCGGCAUGCCUUACACAUGCAAGUCGAACGGCAGCACGGGUGCUUGCACCUGGUGGCGAGUGGCGAACGGGUGAGUAAUACAUCGGAACAUGUCCUGUAGUGGGGGAUAGCCCGGCGAAAGCCGGAUUAAUACCGCAUACGAUCUACGGAUGAAAGCGGGGGACCUUCGGGCCUCGCGCUAUAGGGUUGGCCGAUGGCUGAUUAGCUAGUUGGUGGGGAAAAGGCCUACCAAGGCGACGAUCAGUAGCUGGUCGGAGAGGACGACCAGCCCCCCGGGGACUGAGACACGGCCCAGCCUCCUACGGGGGGCCGCGGGGGGAAAUUUUGGACAAGGGGCGAAAGCCUGAUCCAGCAAUCCCGCGUGGGUAAAGAAGGCCCUCGGGUUGUAAAGCACUUUUUCCCGGAAAAAAAUCCUUGGCCCUAAUACGGUCGGGGGAUGCCGGUACCGGAAGAAUACGCCCCGGCUAACUACGU
rnacentral:rRNA from 1 species